UCUGCAGAGAUCCUCACUCUGAAAGAAGUCUUCCAAAUAUCCAGUGAUGAUCAUGAUGUAGCCAUUAACAGAUACAGCCGCCUGUCCAAAAAGAGGGACAAUGACAAGUUGCGGGCGGAGGCCGUGGAGGACGUCUACACCUCCCGCAAGAAACAGCACCAGACCAUGAUGCACUACUUCUGCUCGCUCAACACUCUGCAGUACAAGAAGAAGACGGCUCUGCUGGAGCCGCUGCUGGGCUACAUGCAGGCCCAGAUCAGUUUCUUUAAGCUGGGAUCAGAAAAUCUCACCCAGCAGUGGGAGGACUUCCUGGGAACCAUAGGAACCAGUGUCCAAAA